GCGGGAGUAGUUCAAUGGUAGAACUUCAGCCUUCCAAGCUGAUCAUGCGGGUUCGAUUCCCGUCUCCCGCUCCA
rnacentral:tRNA from 1 species